rnacentral:tRNA from 1 species
AGAUAUAGCUCAGUGGUAGAGUGCUUGCCUAGCAUGUGACAAGUCCUGGGUUUGAUUCCCAGUACUG